GCCACAUAGAAAUGGCUCAGAAAUGAUCCUUUGUCCUUCUUGUUGCUUUUUUUCUUUAUUCCCAAACAUUCUUUUUUCUGUCCUAAACUCUAGGUGACUUUACUUCUUGUCAAGUUUCAUAACCUCUGCAAGCCUCAGUUUGCUCAUCUUAAAAGUGGGUAUAGUAACUGUAAGGACUUACUGGUGGAUUGUGGAGAUUAAUGAAUCAUUUUGAGCUGUUGCAUGCUGAGAGCAGGGAGACUGCAUCUCACCUGUCUUGAUAGGUUUCGUCUUUUCACAGUAAAAAGGCAGUAGUAGGUAAACAUCAUCUUCACCCACUUACUCCUGUGCAGUAUUUUCUCUCACGGUCUCAGCAGUGUGGAAUCAUAGGUAAUCCUGGAUCUUAGCAGGUCCAUGAAUCAGCUCUCUGCAGCCAUGCACACAAACUCUUCAUGUCCUUAGAUAGAGGUGAGAAACAGGUCCCUGGCAUCCCAAAGAACAAAGGAGCAUGGUAUCACAGGGAAAGGUGCUCUGGGCCAGGACUCAGAAUCCAGAUGUGGACUCUCACUGGCCCAGGGUCAGACUCUUUAGCUAGUUGUUCUGGCCUCAUUUUUGUCACUGAGAAACAAUGGGUUAAGCAAGGGGGAAGAAUGGAGUGUGCUUCAUAGGGUUAUUGUGAGAGGUAAGCAGCACAAUGCAUCUGAAAUACUUAGCACAUAGUUGGAACACCAAAUCUAUUAGCUUGUUUUCCUCUUUCCUUGGGAUAGAGCUACAUUUUGUGCAAUAUGCGUCACACUUCCAUUUGCUCUCUGACCAGUAUAAAAAUUAAAAAAAAAUAUAUAUAUAUGUAUAUAUUCACACACAGAUAUAUAUAUUCAUCAAGAGAGACUAAAUAAAGAAGAAAACUAUGCUCACUGGCUAGUAGAAAGAUCCAUCACUACCAAGGAAUAUUUUUUGGUGUAUGUGGGGACAAAAAGACAUUCUGUGGUUCAAUAGGUUAGGUAGGCCUUGCACUGAUAAAAGUAAAUGGGUGUCCAUCCUGGCUAACACGGUGAAACCCCGUCUCUACUAAAAAUACAAAAAAAAUUUAGCCGGGUGUGGUGGUGGGCACCUGUAGUCCCAGCUACUUGGGAGGCUGAGGCAGGAGAAUGGCGUGAACCCAGGAGGCGGAGAUUGCGGUGAGCAGAGAUCACACCACUGCACUCCAGCCUGGGGGACAGAGCAAGACUCUGUCUCAAAAAAAAAAAAAGUAAAUGGGUGUCUUUCCCAUAAGGUAGGUUGGACCCUUAGCAUGAGAUGUGCAUUUCAAAGCAACAAGAAGAA
rnacentral:lncRNA from 1 species